CGUAGGGUCCGAGCGUUGUCCGGAAUUAUUGGGCGUAAAGGGCUCGUAGGCGGUUUGUCACGUCGGGCGUGAAAACUCAGGGCUCAACCCUGAGCGUGCGUCCGAUACGGGCAGACUAGAGGUAUGCAGGGGAGAACGGAGUUCCUGGUGUAGCGGUGGAAUGCGCAGAUAUCAGGAGGAACACCGGUGGCGAAGGCGGUUCUCUGGGCAUUACCUGACGCUGAGGAGCGAAAGCAUGGGGAGCGAACAGGAUUAGAUACCCUGGUAGUCCAUGCCGUAAACGUUGGGCGCUAGGUGUGGGGACCUUCCACGGUCUCCGUGCCGCAGCUAACGCAUUAAGCGCCCCGCCUGGGGAGUACGGCCGCAAGGCUA
rnacentral:rRNA from 1 species